GGUCGCCUGCGUACCACAGGGCACAGAGAGGCAAACCGUUCACGCUCACACCCAUGGACAUUUAGAGUACUAAAUUAACCUCCUCCCCGGCAGGAAACCUGAGUGCCUAGUAUAAAGCCACACAAGCACGGUGAAAAGUUUCCGACCGAUAUUCCGCAGGGGUCUCAAAAUGAUGCAGGAGAGGCACGACGGAAUAAAUAUGGACCUGGUGGUUUCAUCAAAGCCAGGGAGUAGACCCAUAACAUCCAAAAAUCUGAAGUUCUUGAAAAAGCUGAAGAUUUCGCUUCCCAGUUUUGGGAAGUUCAGACCCAGAGUGGACCAGUGCUGCCACCAGUGCACGCCAGAUAGUCUGCGCAAAAAGUUGGAUCACAACUUGACUCUAGGUUUCCGUAACAUUCUUAGUGUCAACGAAAGUCAGACGAGGUACCGGGGAUGGCUGGUGCGGAGAGUUUGCUGUGUUCUUUUUGUGAGAGGCUGCAAGGUUCACCCGAGCCCUGCUGACAACAGAGUGCAGAGGGUCUGUGAGAGCAGCAGGGUCAGGAAGGCCCUUGCUGUUGGGCAUAACACAUCUGAGAAAGGUGACGAUCAAGGGCAGAUCAGCCACCUCUCAUUCUUCCUCCCCCUCGUUGACACAUGCAUCUGGCCUGGACUCUUGAGAUUCGUGUGUUGGGUGAUGCUGAAGACAUUCGCAUCUGCAUUUGGCACUGUUGAAAUCAACCUCAACCAUCUUUUGGCUCUGCACAGAGCUUCACAAGAGGGCUGUCUCCUGGUCUAUGUGUACAUGCGUCAGAGCGUUUGGGACUGGGCUCUCAUCCCUCUGGUGCUCUUCUGUCAUAACCUGCGAGUGCCUUACACAGUUUGCCCACUCCAAAUUAACAGCCCCGUCCUGAGGUCGGCUCUUCAGAGGCUCGGCGUUAUUCUUUUGCCAAAAUCUGCUGCAUGUGAAGAGGAAGCUGAGAGGAACAGGUUGUACUCACCUGUUAUGACCUCUCUGCUACAGGAGCUGCUACAUGAAGGCCAGGCCAUUAGCAUCGGCGUGUCAGGAGAGUCUGGUGAAGGUGGUCAGUGGGUGGCUCGCAUCAGGCAGCUCAUCCAAGAGGGCUCUGUGGCUGAUGUCAGUCUGGUACCUGUGGGCGUGUCUUACGACUGCGUCCCUGCCAAGAACUCCCAGGUGGGGUUUAUAGCUCUCUGCCGUUGGAUGCUGUCUUCUCUCUGGACCAGACCAGGAGGAAAUGUUAGGAUCAACUUCAUGAGGCCGUUUUCCCUGAAGGAGAUGUGUGAGUCUGGAAGAUGUAAAACACGCGAUUGUGUCCCACUACAGGAUCUGUUACUUCCAGUGAUUCUCAAUGACAGGGAACUGAAGGGGACGUCAAAAUACCCGGUGCUGAUAAGUACUCAGGAGCUUCAAGCUGUCAGCAUUCGUGGGCAGAGGAAGACAGCCUGGCUACUGCCCUCUAGUUAUGCAUCCGAGCUUCAGGAGAUAAAAGAGAGAGAGAUGACGAUUGCCAUCAUCAUCCACCUCAUCUUUUCAACAACCUCCUGUAUGGCUGUGAUGUCCACCAGUCUGCUGUCCUGCCUGCUGCUGCACAGACACCGCAAGGGUGUGAGAGCAUCUGUCUUGUGUCGGGACAUGGCUUGGCUCACGGAAGAAAUCCUGUUCAGAAACAGAGAUGUUGGCUUUUAUGGGAGUUUAGAGGACGUUUUCUAUCACUCCCUCUCUCUGCUCUCCCAACAUGUCAUCAUAGCUGCUGUGCCCUCAAGAGCUGAUCCUGCAAUUGCCCCUCGUGCAACUCCGACAGCCACGCUUCACCUCACCCUCCAUGCCCAACUUGUCACGCGUGCCUUCAUAUUGGAGUCUGUUGGCGCGUGCGCCGUGUCUGCCAUGCUGUGCGAGGUGGCCUGCAGUGGUGUCAGCAGGGUCAGGAAGUGCGGUGUGAUGGCAGAGGAGGUCGAAGGUGACAUGGAGUUUGAUGUGCUGCUCUGCCAGGACAAGCUGACUGAAAGAGCACAGCUUCUCUGUCAUCUCUUGCCUCCAGGCUUUGUACCGCCCUGUCAGUCCUCAGUGGAUUUCCCUCGGGAUGCAGUACACAGUCUUGUCAAUUGUGGAAUCCUGAUCAUGGAAGAAGUGCCCAGGGACCAUCCUCUCUGUGAUUUCCACAAGAGAAAGGGCACUUUCAACUGGACUGCUGUUGAUGACAUGAAUGACAGCGACUCAGACGAUGAGGAACCGGACAAGCGCUCUUACAAGGUACAGACGGGCUCUGCUGACUUCCCUCAGGCUUCCUCACGCAGUGCAGAGACACAUCAAAGGUUAUAGGACAAGGAAAUUCGCCACACUGACCCAAACCCCGGGAUCAAAAAUGGCUCCUUAGUUGACUGCCUGCAAGGCAUGUGCCGUACUUCCCAAGAGGGUGAGAAGGAAUCAUUGAAGUAUCCUCAUCUCCAUAACAAAAGGUGUCUUCAUGAUAACUAUUUCGAAUUGAAUACCAAUAAGACAUGUAUGUCUGAAGCCAUGACUUCAUAUUUAAACCUUGGUCACGACAGCACUCAUUCAUCAGUGACACAAGGGCUACUCCACUACAACAGCGGACACAGGUUUAUGAAGGUACCUAUACUAGAGAAACUUUAAGCAGACAGUGAGUGGAGAUGGAGACCACAAUGUCAGAAAGAGAUGUCAACCAGUUCUUUCAUCGGCAAGGUGGAUCUGUUAGUGGGUCGUGUAAUGGAAAGUUCUGGAACUAGCUUGUUGUCCAGAGCUGACUUUCUGAAGGUAAGUCUGAAUUUAUUCAUUUCACUGUUGUUUAUUCAUUUCCCCAAAAAAACAUUUAGCCUCGCCACGUGUUCUGAACAGAUGCAGCACGAGCAGCAGCAGCAGCCAUAUGCUGUUAUUAUUUCAUUUAUUUUAAUUGCAUACAUAAUGAUACAAGGCUGUUAGUCAUUCAUAUUUGAUAAUGUUUUUUGCUUACAUUGUUUGAUUUUUCAGGUAAUUAAUCUUCAGAGGAUCUCAUGUUCAAUUAUUCAAAGAAUGAGAUUCGUUUUGGAAUAUAGAUUGAGUCUUGCAGAAAAUAAUUUGAUUCAAAUGAAUAUCAUUGUAUUCUUGUGCUUCCCUUAUGAACGUUGUCUACUGCUGUCAUGUUUUUCAAUUCACAAAUUUGGGUGGGUUUGUCAACAGAAUCAUUCAAAUACAUACUUUUAUGUAGAAUAAUAAUGAAAAUUUCCGGUCGGCUCGGAGUCCCAAAAUCUCUGAUGGCACCCCUGCAUAGCAGGACCAUGAUAUCAGCUUACAAAACUUCAUCUAAAACAAUAGCAGUUCUAUAAUAAGAGGUUAUGUUGCUUUCUUAUUGUGUGUUAGUGUGGCAGAGCCCCACUGCCAUUGGCUGGCAUGAUGAUCAAUUGAGAUGGAGCUUGCAAUAUUUGGACAGUGCUCAUCAAAAUACAAUGAAACCUUUUUUUUUUUUUACUACAGUGAUGCUCAGUUGUCACAAUUUGCAUCAAAUGAAAAUUGAAUCAUAGCUGCGGAAGUAACAGCCAUCUCAAAACUUGCCCAGAAAAGAGUAUGUUCCCUUGUUCCAACAGACAUGAUAUUUUUAGGGCUGUUGAGCCUUCUUAAGAGAGUAUACCACCUAUUUUAUCAUCUUUAUUUCAUAAGAUCAGGACCAUGGAGCCAACUGAUGACCGACUCUUAUCUCUACAGCAUCAGACCCUUCAUCAAGUCAUUGUUUGCAGGACGACUAAUAUUGCAGUGACUUCCUCCACUAUAGUGCUUGUUUACAGAGUCGAUACCUCUAGAUAAGACAACCG